UGCAUCUUAUCAAAAAAGCGGAGGAAAAGAAACCAACCGGGAUUGCCUUAGUAACGGCGAGUGAAGCGGCAAAAGCUCAAAUUUGAAAUCUGGUACCUUCGGUGCCCGAGUUGUAAUUUGGAGAGGGCAACUUUGGGGCCGUUCCUUGUCUAUGUUCCUUGGAACAGGACGUCAUAGAGGGUGAGAAUCCCGUGUGGCGAGGAGUGCGGUUCUUUGUAAAGUGCCUUCGAAGAGUCGAGUUGUUUGGGAAUGCAGCUCUAAGUGGGUGGUAAAUUCCAUCUAAAGCUAAAUAUUGGCGAGAGACCGAUAGCGAACAAGUACAGUGAUGGAAAGAUGAAAAGAACUUUGAAAAGAGAGUGAAAAAGUACGUGAAAUUGUUGAAAGGGAAGGGCAUUUGAUCAGACAUGGUGUUUUGUGCCCUCUGCUCCUUGUGGGUAGGGGAAUCUCGCAUUUCACUGGGCCAGCAUCAGUUUUGGUGGCAGGAUAAAUCCAUAGGAAUGUAGCUUGCCUCGGUAAGUAUUAUAGCCUGUGGGAAUACUGCCAGCUGGGACUGAGGACUGCGACGUAAGUCAAGGACGCUAUCUCUUUAG
rnacentral:rRNA from 1 species